CAAACAGUUGGUGUGAAGAGUAGAAGAGCAGUUGCUGUGUAGUUGUCGAAAGGAAACACUUCUAGGCAGCCCUGUAUGAUGGAGCUUUUUGAAACCAGCCCUUAUUUCUUUCCAGACCAAAGGUUUUAUGACAAUGAUAACUAUUUCUCUGCGAGGCUCCCUACAUAUGAGCAAACUGGGUUUCAAGAUCGUGGCACUGUGGGGAUAUGUGCGGAUGGGGUUUUAUUGCAGGGCUCAGGAAUUGAAGACAAGGUUUCUCCCCAUCCCACUGUAACCCAACAAGAACAUUGCCCUGGCCAAUGCUUGCCAUGGGCCUGCAAGGUAUGCAAGAGGAAGACGGUUUCCAUGGACAGAAGGAGGGCUGCUACCUUACGGGAAAAGCGCAGGUUAAAAAAAGUUAACGAGGCAUUUGAAGCCCUGAAAAGAAGCACUCUGUUGAACCCUAACCAAAGGCUUCCAAAGGUUGAAAUCUUAAGGAGCGCCAUCCAGUAUAUAGAACGCUUGCAGACACUAUUGGCUUCCCUUAACCAGCAGGAGAGGGACCAGAGAGAUUUAUUAUUCAUCAGUAAUGGAUCCCAACGGGUGGUAUCAAGUGAAUGUGGGUCAAGCUCUUCCUCUUGUAGUCCUGAAUGGAACGAUUCUGACUUUAGUGGCAGCCAAAGUGCUAUGCCCUGCCAGUAUGGUGUAAACUUCCAGAAAGGGGUUUGAAUGCCAGACAGAAGCAUAAAUAGAGAGCAGAGGGAGAAGUUACAACAGACACGUGAAACAUUCAGCCUGGCAUUCCAUUAAUUCUCUGCCUGAGAUCAUCUCUUGAGUGACGAUUCUUCCGAGCAACGUGACAUCAAUUCCUUGUCAUCAAUUGUCGACAGCAUCACAUCUGGGGAGGUGUCUAUAACUUAUCCCGAGCAGCAUAUUCAGCAUUAAGCACCCUGCACUAUCGUUGCUGUUUAUUUUUGGACCUAUAUGUAAGCGUACAAUGCUUUAGAGAUAUAAUAACGAGGACUCAACUGUGUAGUGCUAUUCCAUAAAAUGCCUUCUGGCUAGUGAUGAGCGAAUCUGUCCCAUUUCGCUUCGCCAUAAAAUUUGCAAAACAGCAAGAAAAUUCACUAAACGGUGAAAAAUUUGCGAAAUGCAUUUGUCGCACGACAAAUGCGCUCAUCACUACUUCUGGCCCCCAAGCACAUUUUAUAUUCUGUUUAUGUGAAUAGGUUACACUUCCUGGCACUGAAAAUUCUGAACCGUAAUAAGCAAAUAUGCAUUUAUUAACCCGGAAUUACUAAAUCGCCUUAUAAGGCCAUUAUUUAAUUAAAUUAUUAAAUCAAAUUGUUGAACCCUUAAUUAAUUUAAAGAAGAGCAACACUAUAUUUAUUAUUCACUUAAAAUAUUCAAUAAUCUUAUUCAAAUCCCAGUAUUGUUAAAGAUAUUGUGUCUGAAAAUUCUAAAAAAAAAACAAAAAAAAAACUUCUGAAAAAUUCCAUGUUUUGGUAUGAAAUGUUUUAAUAUAUUUUCAUAGCGAUUUUUAUUUGUGUGUGUUUUUUGCAAUUUUUUACUCACUGGGGCCAAUUUUUUUAUUUUACUGCAAUGCUGUUUGACCAACUUAUGGCCUUUUUUUUAAAUGUGUGGAUUUGCUAUUUUUGUUUUUUUUUAUUUUUGCUAACUUAUUUUGAUAUUUUUAAAUAAAAGAUAUCUUGUUUGAUUA